rnacentral:rRNA from 1 species
CGCAUCUGUGCAUGCAGCAUAUCAAUAAGCGGAGGAAAAGGCUGCGGAACUGCACGACCGCUACCUACGCUUAGGAUGUUGACGAGACUGUCGAUCUCAUCUAUACAUGACUCUGUGCAUAUCAAUAAGCGGAGGAAAAGAAACUAACAAGGAUUCCCCUAGUAACGGCGAGUGAAGCGGGAAGAGCUCAAAUUUGAAAUCUUAAAGGGUUUCCCUUUACGAAUUGUAGUUUAAAGAAGUGUUUUCUGUUGAGGUUUUGGUAAAAGUUCUCUGGAAUAGGACAUCAUAGAGGGUGAGAAUCCCGUAUUUGACCUUUACUUUCAACUUUGUGAUACACUUUCAAAGAGUCGGAUUGUUUGGGAAUGCAGUCCAAAAUGGGUGGUAAAUUUCAUCUAAAGCUAAAUAUUGGCGAGAGACCGAUAGCGAACAAGUACCGUGAGGGAAAGAUGAAAAGAACUUUGAAAAGAGAGUUAAACAGUACGUGAAAUUGUCAAAAGGGAAGCGUUUGACACCAGUGUUGUUUUUCUGAAAAUCAAUUAAAGAACUGUUUAUGCUAAGCUGUUUAGACUUUAUCAGCUAUCUGUUUAGUUUUGAGCUUUUCUUUAAUGCACUUUUCAGUUAACAAGUCAACAUCAAUUUCUUUUGCUGUAAAAAAGCUUGAGGAAGGUGGCUUGAGAUUCGUCUUAAGUGUUUAUAGCCUCUUGCCUAUGCAGUCGGAGAGAUUGAGGUCUGCAGCGUAGAUCCCUUCGGGGCUAAAUGCAUUUGUGCUAAGUUAUAACAUUUUAUAGACAACUUGUUGACUAUGAUUUGUCUUGUAGCUUACUCGCUUAUGUUAUUUUACCUACGCUUAGGAUGUUGAGCGCAUGUCUCUCUCU